UGGGGAAUAUUGCACAAUGGGCGCAAGCCUGAUGCAGCAACGCCGCGUGAGGGACGACGGCCUUCGGGUUGUAAACCUCUUUUAGUAGGGAAGAAGCGAAAGUGACGGUACCUGCAGAAAAAGCACCGGCUAACUACGUGCCAGCAGCCGCGGUAAUACGUAGGGUGCGAGCGUUGUCCGGAAUUAUUGGGCGUAAAGAGCUCGUAGGCGGUCUGUCGCGUCUGCUGUGAAAACCCGAGGCUCAACCUCGGGCCUGCAGUGGGUACGGGCAGACUAGAGUGCGGUAGGGGAGAAUGGAAUUCCUGGUGUAGCGGUGGAAUGCAGCGAUACAGGAGGAACACCGAUGGCGAAGGCAGUUCUCUGGGCCGUAACUGACGCUGAGGAGCGAAAGCGUGGGGAGCGAACAGGAUUAGAUACCCUGGUAGUCCACGCCGUAAACGUUGGGCGCUAGAUGUGGGGACCAUUCCACGGUUUCCGUGUCGCAGCUAACGCAUUAAGCGCCC
rnacentral:rRNA from 1 species